rnacentral:rRNA from 1 species
UACGUAGGGCGCAAGCGUUGUCCGGAAUUAUUGGGCGUAAAGAGCUCGUAGGCGGUGUGUCACGUCGGCCGUGAAAACCUGGGGCUUAACUCUGGGCGUGCGGUCGAUACGGGCAUCACUAGAGUUCGGCAGGGGAGACUGGAAUUCCUGGUGUAGCGGUGAAAUGCGCAGAUAUCAGGAGGAACACCGGUGGCGAAGGCGGGACUCUGGGCCGAUACUGACGCUGAGGAGCGAAAGCGUGGGGAGCGAACAGG